rnacentral:lncRNA from 1 species
CACUGACCUGCCACACAGGUGGGAAUGCCAGGGACCAGGAAUUUCUCUCUGGCUACAGCUUCCAUCAGCUGAUACUUCUGACAAAACACUUGGCUUCUCCACUCCCCCCUUGGCAGCCCCUGGGCUGCAGCCUGCAGCGCUGCCUUAGAGCGCGCUGAGCUCUGCCGUGCUCUGUGCCGGCGUCUCCUGCUCGGGGCUGUACCUUGCACGGGGCUCCCAAAUGUCAGACUCGCUGCUCAACCACUCCUGGCCAUCGUUUUCCAAGCGCUGGAAGAAGAGAUGGUCCUUUAAGCGAGGGUCUGACUGCAAGCCGUGCUUACGGGAGUUCACUGACCACCACAGCCCUGCCUUGGAGUAUCCCACCCCCAAAAGCUUCCUCCCAUCCCUGAUUGCUGAAAAUGAUUCCUUCUGCACCAGCAUGGCUGAGGAGAAGGAGGACUCGUCUUCCACAGAGCUGGAUGUGCCAGCAGCAGACUUGCACAGCAGCACGGAGGAUCUCCUCUCAGACUCUGCUCUCCAGGGCACGGAGUAUUACAAAGAUCUGGGCCUGAGCCUGCCGUCUGCCAAAACAGCGCCAGACACGGCAGCACAGCCAGAACAAGGAUCCCAGACUGUGUCUGCCCUUCUCUCACUGGAAGAGAGACCAAGGGCUCUGAACAAACUGUCUGUGGAUGUUGCUUUUUCCAAUCCCGUUUCCUGCUCAGUACGUUAUGGCGAGGCUGACUGUCGUUUUCUGAACAAAGGCCACCUGUGCUCCUGUGCAGCCAUGCCAGAUGAUGGGACCAGCACUUCUGAGCAUCCUGCAGAGGCAGACAAUGAGCUGGACCUGCAGGAGGCUCAGGAUUCCUUCCCCACGCUGGUGAGAUCGAUGUCCACCUCCCGGAGGCACAGCUGGGAGAGCCCCGUGUCACCCAUGGACUGCAGGCGCAGGUUCAGCCUGGAUGUCACAGAGCUGGGCAGUGACCCAGAGCAGGAAGAUGUGGAGAAGAGGAGCCAGUCCUGCAUCCAGCCUCAUGUGUCCCUUCAGCUGCCCAAAGGAGAGCGGGGAGCCUGGAGCAGCAGCCGGGGUGGCACAGUGAUCAAAGUGGAGAUAGAGCCGCUGUGCCCAGACCUCGUGGCCAGCCCCAGCCUGCAGGAGGUGAAAUGUGUCAGCAAUGGGAAGAGACUGAGGUCCAAGUCUGUCCCAUCAGCCUGUGAGACCGUUGCCUCCCCUCAGAUACCUGACAAUUUCAACACUUCUCUUCCAGCUGUGGAAGGUUGGUAUAGACUUUAUGCCAU